UACGUAGGGUGCAAGCGUUAAUCGGAAUUACUGGGCGUAAAGCGUGCGCAGGCGGUUGUGCAAGACAGAUGUGAAAUCCCCGGGCUCAACCUGGGAAUUGCAUUUGUGACUGCACGGCUAGAGUGUGUCAGAGGGGGGGUAGAAUUCCACGUGUAGCAGUGAAAUGCGUAGAGAUGUGGAGGAACACCGAUGGCGAAGGCAGCCUCCUGGGCUAGUACUGACGCUCAUGCACGAAAGCGUGGGGAGCAAACAGG
rnacentral:rRNA from 1 species